AUGAACGCUGGCGGCGUGCUUCACACCUGCAAGUCGCACGAUGAAGCCCAGCUUGCUGGGUGGAUUAGUGGCGAACGGGUGAGUAACACGUGAGUAACCUGCCCUUAACUCUGGGAUAAGCCUGGGAAACUGGGUCUAAUACCGGAUAGGAGCGUCCACCGCAUGGUGGGUGUUGGAAAGAUUUAUCGGUUUUGGAUGGACUCGCGGCCUAUCAGCUUGUUGGUGAGGUAAUGGCUCACCAAGGCGACGACGGGUAGCCGGCCUGAGAGGGUGACCGGCCACACUGGGACUGAGACACGGCCCAGACUCCUACGGGAGGCAGCAGUGGGGAAUAUUGCACAAUGGGCGCAAGCCUGAUGCAGCGACGCCGCGUGAGGGAUGACGGCCUUCGGGUUGUAAACCUCUUUCAGUAGGGAAGAAGCGAAAGUGACGGUACCUGCAGAAGAAGCACCGGCUAACUACGUG
rnacentral:rRNA from 1 species